rfam:Brassica oleracea var. oleracea cultivar TO1000 chromosome C2, whole genome shotgun sequence
GGAAUAUAAGAACAUAUCUUUUAACGUUAAACUAAAUAAAUUAAGAACCGACUCUUUAAUAUCUUAUCUAAGAGUCGGUUCUUAAUUUAUUUAGUUAAAAGUUAAGAGACGGGUUCUUAUAUUCC